UCGAGAAUCUUUCACAAUGGGGGCAACCCUGAUGGAGCGACGCCGCGUGGAGGAUAAGGUCUUCGGAUUGUAAACUCCUGUCAUGCGCGAACAAGGUUGCAGGGAUAAUACCUUUGCAAAUUGAUGGUAGCGCAAGAGGAAGAGACGGCUAACUCUGUGCCAGCAGCCGCGGUAAUACAGAGGUCUCAAGCGUUGUUCGGAAUCACUGGGCGUAAAGGGUGCGUAGGUGGCAUGGUAAGUCAGAUGUGAAAGCCCAGGGCUCAACCUUGGAAUUGCAUCCGAUACUGCUGUGCUAGAGUACUGGAGGGGUGACUAGAAUUCUCGGUGUAGCAGUGAAAUGCGUAGAUAUCGAGAGGAAUACCAAAGGCGUAGGCAGGUCACUGGACAGUUACUGACACUGAGGCACGAAGGCCAGGGGAGCAAACG
rnacentral:rRNA from 1 species